GGCACCUUUGUGUGUUUUUGUUUAACGUGUGGACAGAGACUUAUAGACAGGUGCAAAAGAGAAAUUCUCUUUUGCAACCCAGAACUAAUUGUUCAGUAUGAGUUUUGAUACAUGUAAGCAGGAAUAUU
rnacentral:snoRNA from 1 species